rnacentral:lncRNA from 1 species
UCAAUCUCGUAUUGGGUCUGAAAAAAUAUGUUGAAAGCCCUAGGUUGGGCUCACUGAAUUUCUUAGGCCCAUUCAAAACAUUGCCAUAACCAGAGACAAAAGUAAAGGAAUGUGUGGCCGGUAAAUUCUAACUUUUCUUUUUGAAAAAUGUUUGUCUGUAAAGUGAUUUUUUUCAGUAUUUGGUACUAUUUAUGGCAUUUAGGAAUUUAAUAUUUCAAUGGUGUUUAGUAAGGAGGGUGUAAAUAAAUCGAAUAUAAAUAAAUAAACAUAUAUUCGUAUUUAUUUAUUUAUUUUUAAAAGUAUUGUAUUUGGUUUAUAUUUGUUAAAAAAAUUAUUUUAUUUGUUCA